rnacentral:ncRNA from 1 species
GAGCUUUGAAGCAAAUGCUAAGUCAAGGUAGUGUUUGUGGAGUUCUGCCAAGGGUUAUAUGUAUACCUCAACUUGAAUAGGCGUAAGCCGAAAGAAAACAUUUAAA